GACGAACGCUGGCGGCGUGCUUAACACAUGCAAGUCGAACGGAAAGGCCCUGCUUUUGUGGGGUGCUCGAGUGGCGAACGGGUGAGUAACACGUGAGUAACCUGCCCUUGACUUUGGGAUAACUUCAGGAAACUGGGGCUAAUACCGGAUAGGAGCCCCUGCUGCAUGGUGGGGGUUGGAAAGUUUGGGCGGUUGGGGAUGGAUUCGCGGCUUAUCAGCUUGUUGGUGGGGUAGUGGCUUACCAAGGCUUUGACGGGUAGCCGGCCUGGGAGGGUGACCGGCCACAUUGGGACUGAGAUACGGACCAGACUCCUACGGGAGGCAGCAGUGGGGAAUAUUGCACAAUGGGCGGAAGCCUGAUGCAGCAACGCCGCGUGCGGGAUGACGGCCUUCGGGUUGUAAACCGCUUUCGCCUGUGACGAAGCGUGAGUGACGGUAAUGGGUAAAGAAGCACCGGCUAACUACGUG
rnacentral:rRNA from 1 species